AGAAAAUCACCAAACUAAACCUUUUGGAGGAUGGAUCAGCUUCUAGGAUUGUUGAAAGGUAUUUGGUGUGAUGUAAUUCUUGUAUUUACUUUCACUGAGGAAAGGGGAUAAACCUUUUUAUAGAAAGUUGACCUAAUACCAAUAAAGAAUUUAAAAACAAUA